rnacentral:rRNA from 1 species
UACGGAGGAUCCAAGCGUUAUCCGGAUUUAUUGGGUUUAAAGGGUGCGUAGGCGGCCUGUUAAGUCAGGGGUGAAAGACGGUAGCUCAACUAUCGCAGUGCCCUUGGUACUGAUGGGCUUGAAUGGACUAGAGGUAGGCGGAAUGAGACAAGUAGCGGUGAAAUGCAUAGAUAUGUCUCAGAACACCGAUUGCGAAGGCAGCUUACUAUGGUCUUAUUGACGCUGAGGCACGAAAGCGUGGGGAUCAAACAGG